CGAUAAUAUUAUACCCGCCCCGCGACCCGACAACGGGAAUUUAAUGGUCGGACCUAAACGAUAUCAACUUACUAUUAUUCGAUAAAUCCAGUCUCGUUACGCGUCCGAAUACUCGUGUUAAGUUAUUCGUUCGGUAUUUAAAAUAUUUCGGAAAUACAUUAAACAAUAUUUUUAUUAUUUUAUUUUUUUUUUUUUUAUCGUAUUUUCAUUACUUAUGAACGUGUAUAACAUACCACACUUUUGUU